rnacentral:rRNA from 1 species
UACGAAGGGGACUAGCGUUGUUCGGAAUCACUGGGCGUAAAGCGCACGUAGGCGGAUUCGUAAGUCAGGGGUGAAAUCCCGGGGCUCAACCUCGGAACUGCCUUUGAUACUGCGGGUCUUGAGUCCGAUAGAGGUGGGUGGAAUUCCUAGUGUAGAGGUGAAAUUCGUAGAUAUUAGGAAGAACACCGGUGGCGAAGGCGGCACGCUGGGCCGUACCUGACACUAAAACGCGACAGCAUGGGGAGCGAACGGG